UAUUUUAAAAAAAAAUAAAAAUACAUACCAGUCUUAUGAUUAAAUUUAUUUUUCACAUUUACAGAAAAAUCUUGUAAAGAUUAAAGCUGUAAAUAUAAAAAACGAAGAGUGGUGUUCGUAAGGCCUCCUAUGUCUUUCAAUAGUCUAAUGAAACUAAACUGGCAAGUUAUUGAUUCCCAUACAAAAUUUGUGUAAGCUAUUUUUUUUUCCUAACUGCAUAAGCUAAUUUUUUUUUUUUACUGAUCUCCAGGUGGAAAAAACAAAAGUAAUGCUAUAUACUACCUACGAUACAUGUUACUGUGUAACUUGUUGCAUGCUUUCUUCCCUACUUAGAGCAUGUAAAAACCUCUAACUUGAAUCUUGAAAGCAUGGAGAGUCCACUACAGUCUGCCUGUGUCCAUCCUUUCACUAAUCUCUUCAAUGCCCAUGCUGAUCUCUGCCUCUGACCUGAUAUGUUCUGCUGUAUUUACAUGGAUUAUUUUACCAUUUAUCAUUACAGGUACUAUUUUUUUUGGUAGCUACCUCCUUCACGUAGCCCUUUCUAACUCUCCAACCUAACUAUUUCUCGCCUGAACCACUGAGUGCUCAUAUUACACCAGGCACUGGGUUAAGUCUGACAUACACGUGCCUAAUGUUAAUGAACAUGAACGAAAUUACAGAACUGAGUAGUUAUCCUUUCUUCCUACUGUCUGUGGUAAAUAGAUCCAUUCCUUCAAUACUGUAGAGGCAUACUACAUACUAGGUACCAAACUAUACACUGAAUUAUUAAAAUUAUUUCUAAACAGUUGAUAGGUACAAAAUAUAAAAUUCAGAAGAGGUAUAUGUCACCUUCCUAUUCUUUAAUCAAGUUAUUCUUCCUCAAAGCAUUAAGCUUCUUGAGUAUCCUUCUGUGUACUUUAAUAUUUUGUAUAUUUUCAUAUGAAUGGUGUAUUAUAUAAACACUAUUGCACCACGGUUUUUUGCCUAGAGAUUUCUUCCAAUCAGGACAUAUUCAACAGUCUCUUUUUAAUAGCUAACUUCUGCAUUGACGGUGUUUCUGAGUUGGUAAUAUUGAUUUUAUAGAAAAAAUUUUUUUUGUUAGCAACUGUAGGCCCUUUUCUAUUGCCACAAAAUUUUAAGGAACAGCUGUUUUUAAAUUUUCAUCUGCAUGAAAAAUGUAAUACAUAUUCUGUCAUAAGCAGUAGGUAGAACUGUGCUCUAUAUAUUGUAUAUUCUUUAGGACAGAAUACGGAAUCAGUAAAUAAAAAUAGCUUUUGGCUUAUUUUAUUCAAUUUUUUGAAAUAAACAUUCACAAAUUUAACCUAUCCUUAAAAAUAGGCACUACAUAUUUUAGUGUAAUCCCAUUUAUAUACAAUACAAGCCCUUUACAUAUUAACACUGGUAACCUUUGGGAGGGUAAUGUGAAUUUUUCACAAAUAUGUAUUUCUAUGUAAUAAAAGCCUAAUAUGCAAAUCGACCAAACUGCAGAACAACCGGUCACUAUGAUGCACACUGACCACCAGGGGGCAGAUGCUAAACGCGGAAGCUGUCUCCAGCCCACAGGCCAGCCAAGGCAGGUGCCAGCAGGGGCCCCGAUUGUCCCACUGGUCACCCAACCGAGGGAGGUGACUGGCGGCAGGGCUGGCUGGUGAGUGGGCUGGUGCCACCCUUGGAUCGCCCUUGGGGGGCGGGGCUGGCAAGUGGGGGGUGCCAAGCCGGCCAAGGCGGGUACCUGCGGGGCCCCCCAAUUGCCCCGUUGGUCAUCCCAAAGAUCGACCCUGAUCACCAGCCAGGCUUAGGGACUCGUACCAGUGCAUGAGUUUCAUGCACUGGGCUUCUAGUUUAUAUAUUAAUUUUAAAGGCCUAAUGGGGCCCAGUUAUACUUUUUUGCCCAAUUUGCAUAUCAAUCAAAGCUAUUGUUUCAAGUAAAUAAUUUAGUCUGUUCAAUAAUUUCAAAUAUCUUCCUCUAGUUUGCUUGCUCCAUUAAUUCAUUUAGUAAACUCUUUCCCUCACUUAUAGCAUGGUAGUUCCAGUUCAUUGCAUUAGUCAGAAGCAUAACUGAAAGUGGUUUCACACUAGAACAGCGGUUCUCAACCUGUGGGUCAUGACCCCUUUGGGGGUUGAACGACCCUUUCACAGGGGUUGCCUAAGACCAUCAGAAAACACAUAUUUUCGAUGGUCUUAGGAACCGAGACACCGCUCCUCUAUCGGUCUCCAGGUGGGUCCGCCCACAUGCAGAUAUGGUCACACAUGAGUACCCGGCGUAUUAAAGGGUCGAGGCGUUAGGAAGACUGAGAAACCACUGCACUAGAGGUUCCUAUUGCUCAAACUGAGAACUCGGACUUGGAUAAAUUUUUUAGAACUUAUGCCCGGCUGGUUGUUUCAGUGGUUGAGCCUUGACCUAUGAACCAGGAGGUCAUGGUUUGAUUCCUAGUCAGGGCACAUGCCCAGGUUGUAGGCUCGAUCCCCAAUGUGGGGCCUGCAGGAGGCAGCCAAUUAAUGAUUCUCUCAUCACUGAUGUUUCUAUCUGUCUGUCCUCCUCCCUUCCUCUCUGAAAUCAAUAAAAAUAUUUUAAAAAAUAAAAUUAGAAGUAUAAACUGAACAUGGUUUUACACUAGAGGUUUCUAUUGCUCAAACUGAGGACUUGGAUAAAAUAUUAGAACUCUUGCUUUGCAUUAUCCAAAACUAAACAAAAGAGAAAAAAAAAAGAGUGAAAUAGAUGUACAUAAUAUC